GACGAACGCUGGCGGCGUGCUUAACACAUGCAAGUCGAACGAUGAAGCCGGAGCUUGCUCUGGUGAAUUAGUGGCGAACGGGUGAGUAACACGUGAGUAACCUGCCCUUGACUCUGGGAUAACUGCUAGAAAUGGUAGCUAAUACCGGAUACGACCCUCGGCGGCAUCGCCAGGGGGUGGAAAGAAUUUCGGUCAAGGAUGGACUCGCGGCCUAUCAGCUAGUUGGUGAGGUAACGGCUCACCAAGGCGACGACGGGUAGCCGGCCUGAGAGGGUGACCGGCCACACUGGGACUGAGACACGGCCCAGACUCCUAUGGGAGGCAGCAGUGGGGAAUAUUGCACAAUGGGCGCAAGCCUGAUGCAGCAACGCCGCGUGAGGGAUGACGGCCUUCGGGUUGUAAACCUCUUUUAGUAGGGAAGAGGCGAAAGUGACGGUACCUGCAGAAAAAGCACCGGCUAACUACGUGCCAGCAGCCGCCGCCG
rnacentral:rRNA from 1 species